rnacentral:lncRNA from 1 species
CUUGGCGUGGUUCUUGGGUGUGAACCCCGUGAGGGUCAGGCUAUGGAGAAACUCGGCACAUGAGCGAUCGGGAUUUGGGCCCUCGCCGUGGGGAUCCUGGCCCGUCCCCAGUGGGGUUUUCACUUCGUGCACUUGCAGGACGUCGGGGGCGCUGCCGCUUAGGCCGCUAAGGGUCUGCUGCGCAAUGUCGUGAGAUGAUAGGUAGACCAGGUCCAGGUCUCUGGGGCUCAGGGCAUCGCUGGAGUCGUAGUCACUGUCGGUGGGGAGGAAGACUUCUGAGCAGGCUUCUUCAUCAGAGCAGGGCUGUGAAUCUGCGAAGCCAGAAACUGAGUUUGCCUGUAACUAGAUGUGUUGGAUGAGGUCAUGGAGCAACCUUGGAGACAGAAGCCACAUGCUAGGAUGGUGGGGCUGAAAAACAGAGCUUGUUGCCUGAAGACCAUUACGUCUGCAUAUCAACCUUGAAUUGUCUCCUUUUGAGCUUCUUUCACACAAGAGAGAAAGUAUCUUGUGUUUAUGACAUUCUUAUUUGGGUCUUUGGUAACACGAACCCAAAAUUUAUCCUAACCAAUAGGAGUAUGGUUAAAUAAAUUGUGGCGCAUCUGUAUAUGGAAUAUUAUCCAGCAGCUACAAAGGAUGAGAUACAUUUAUAUGUUCUUU